ACUGGGCGUAAAGCGCACGCAGGCGGUCUGUCAAGUCGGAUGUGAAAUCCCCGGGCUCAACCUGGGAACUGCAUUCGAAACUGGCAGGCUAGAGUCUUGUAGAGGGGGGUAGAAUUCCAGGUGUAGCGGUGAAAUGCGUAGAGAUCUGGAGGAAUACCGGUGGCGAAGGCGGCCCCCUGGACAAAGACUGACGCUCAGGUGCGAAAGCGUGGGGAGCAAACAGGAUUAGAUACCCUGGUAGUCCACGCCGUAAACGAUGUCGAUUUGGAGGUUGUGCCCUUGAGGCGUGGCUUCCGGAGCUAACGCGUUAAAUCGACCGCCUGGGGAGUACGGCCGCAAGGUUAAAACUCAAAUGAAUUGACGGGGGCCCGCACAAGCGGUGGAGCAUGUGGUUUAAUUCGAUGCAACGCGAAGAACCUUACCUG
rnacentral:rRNA from 1 species